GACGAACGCUGGCGGCGUGCUUAACACAUGCAAGUCGAACGGUGAAGCUCCAGCUUGCUGGUGUGGCUCAGUGGCGAACGGGUGAGUAACACGUGAGCAACCUGCCCCUGACUCUGGUAUAAGCGCUGGAAACGGCGUCUACUACUGUAUACGAGAAGAGUCCGCAUGGGCACUUUCUGGAAUGUGUUUCGGUUGGGGAUGGGCUGGCGGCUUAUCGGCUUGUUGGUGAGGUAAUGGCUCACCAAGGCGACGACGGGUAGCCGGCCUGAGAGGGCGACCGGCCACACUGGGACUGAGACACGGCCCAGACUCCUACGGGAGGCAGCAGUGGGGAAUAUUGCACAAUGGGCGAAAGCCUGAUGCAGCGACGCCGCGUGAGGGAUGACGGCCUUCGGGUUGUAAACCGCUUUCAGCAGGGAAGAAGCGAAAGUGACGGUACCUGCAGAAGAAGCACCGGCUAACUACGUG
rnacentral:rRNA from 1 species